UAAUGUUUCUGUAAUUAAAAUUAAUAACCUCUUAAAAUUAAACUAAUGUUAUUAUUAUAAAAUGCAUUUUAUAAUAAUAUUACUUUAACAUUAAAUUGAUGUGUGGGGUAUUGAGUGCGUGUACGCACUUAGUUUACUAAGUUUACUCGCACAAUAGAGAAUAUAAACUUAAAUUAAAUUUUAUAUGAGCAUUUCGAAACUCAAUUUUUCUUUUCAUCUUUUCAAUCUAAAAUAAAAUUUGCUUUAUAUUCUCAGAAAAAAAAAGUAUUUACUCAACGACGGCUCGUAGAUUAGACGACGAGACCCCUUACUAAAAUAAUAUGUAUAUUCUUAAUUCUAGAUUUUUAUUAAAAAUGCAAAUUUUUAAAUAGUACAAUAGUUGUAAUACAUUUGUCGUAUGCGAACAUUUAAAUUGUUACCCUCAGUAUAUAUGGGUACGAAUGCACACACUAGCAGUGUUUGGACGACCGGCAGCGUCAUUCAAAUAAUGGUAAUUUAUUUUUAGAACUAACUGCGGUACGUUCGUCGUUAUCUCCCUCUAUAUCCUAUUUUCGUAAGUCCCUCAAAAUAUAGCCACCUGGAAGAAUUUUUGGUUUUCUGGGCUUUAAAGGUAAAUUAUACUUAAAUAUACUAAUUAUAUAAAAUAUAAUCAAGUUUUAAAUACUAGAAUAUAAUAUAUUUAUUUAUAAUGAUGAUAUUGUAGGACCUGGAGUUAUUCCAAUAAGUAUGGGGUGGAGAACAAGCUGAUGACGAAACAAACGCCUACGGUUAAAUAUGGUCAAGACACCGGGAUUUAAUUUAAUUCAAACCGCUUUCAGAGGUAUGGCUAAAAUAUUUUAUAAAAAGAAUAUGAAUUUAUAUCAGCAAUUUCUUGACGAGACAAAAUCCGAAUUAAUUGACUUAUUGAUGGAUUGUUAGUCUCUGAAAAUGUGAUUAAAUUCGGGCUCCAAUUUGAGGGUACAUACAGCGUUCCAUACACAAUUAAUGAAGAAAAUAGGUCUUUUAAAACGUCUGCCCAUUCACUUGUUAUUGGUAAUAUAAACGAUUUGAGUAGUAUAAUCGACGAGGAAAUGUCUAAAUUAUUGUAUGAAGAGGAGGUCUACUGUGGUAAGGGUUCAAAUUUCACAAUGGAUACAGUCGAUGGAUUAUUACUAUGUGUAUAUAAGUUCAUUCCGCUUAGCGGUUCUUUAUUUAUAAAGUUACCUGAAUGUGUUGAAAACCGUAAGGCAAUUAAUGUAAUGAAUAAUGAUGAUUUAUGUUUAAAAUAUAGUAUAAUGACAAAUAAUGUUAAUGCAAUAAAUGCUAAUCUUGUUAAUAAUUACACAAACGUCGAUGAAAAAUAUAAUUUUUCAGGAUUGACAUACCCUGUGCCAUUAAAACAAGUAAGCGAAUUUGAAAAAAAUAAUCCUAACGUGUCAGUCAACGUUUACGGGUUGGAAGAAAAACGCACUGGAGAAAACCACAGAAGAUUAGAUUACAUCGUCGUGUCGUAUAGGAUUAGUAAAGUGGAAGGCCCUGACCAUGAUUUGCUUCUUUUCACCGACGGAUCAAAUAACAAUAGCGAUAAGUAUCAUUGGUGUUAUAUUAAAAAAUUUUCUCGUUUUAUUAGACCUCAAAUCACUAAACAUUCAAUCUCAUUGGCCAUAUGCAAAGGUUAUUUUAAGGGACAUCAUGAUAAACAGGUAUACCCUUACGUUUAGCUGAACAUAAGAAAUGAUGUUUUUUGAAUAAACCUCUAACACCGAUUAUGCCAGACCCCAAUACAAUGUUAAAAUUAAAAAAUUGGGAUAAUAUAAAUAAAUUAUAUUUUGUUAUUUAUGCCGAUUUUGAAGCGAUGUUGAUUAAAUAUUCGAACCAAACGCAUCAAUCAAAAACCAUACAUAAUCAUGAAGCAAUGUUCUUUGUGUACAUAGUUCAAGUUAGCGAUGCUGUACCACGGGUAUUACUAGAAGAAUUUCAAAUACAGCUUCACCCUGUUGAAUAUUGUGGAAGUAAUAGAAACGACAAUGUUGUUCACUAUCUGAAAAACAUAAUUCUACGCAAGAUUAUGAACACGCUCAAAAUGUACGGAAACGGUUCAAUCAUAAAACAAUAAGCACAGCACCGGGUUUGUCAUUUGAUGCAAUGUUAAAAAUAACGAAUGUCGAGCUAGAAUUGUUAAGCGACUACGAUAUUACUUACUUUUUAUGAAAAACAGAAUUCAUGGUGGUCUUACGCAAGCUGUGAAGGGAUACAGCAAGGCGAGUAAUCCACAACUGUCCGAUUAACGCAACGAACUUGUUGGGCAAUGUCACAACCACAUUGACUACCCCGAAUCACUACAUGAUGCACACUCAGACUUAUUUUAUCUGAGCGAAAAAAUUUUACCGCCGUGUUCUAUCGUUCCUAAAUUAUGUGCUACUCUAAUUAAUAAAAAUAAUUUUAUAGUACAUUAUUCCGUUUUGAAACAAGCGACAUACGUCAUAACAAGGGACCUAGGAUAUUGCAAUUCGAGCAGAGUGCAUGGUUGUCAAAAUACAUUCAACUCAACAUGGACAAACAAAAGAUAGCCACUAGUGAAUUUUUAUAAAUGAAUGAAUAAUGCUGUAUUUGGUAAUUAAUAAUAGUAUUGUUAUUAUUUAAUAGAAGAGAAUGAAAAUGAAUUUAGUUAUAAAUGAAAAAACAUUCAAACGGUUGGUUAAUAAAGCAAAUUUUAAAAACGUAACGAUCUAUGAUGAAACAUUUUGUGCAGUUCACCUAAAUCAUGAUGUUGUUACUUUUGACAAACCAAUAUAUGAUGAUUUUUUUUUUCAGAAAAUUAAGGACCGAAGGAAAACUAGCAUUUAGUAAUUAAAAAUUAUUAUUAUUAUUGAUUUUUUUAAUAAUUAUAAAUGAUUAUAUAAUUCUAUAAAAAUACCACCAUUGACAACUACGAGAUUAGUAAAGGUUAUCAAUCCAUCACUCAACCACCUGUUGCACACAACAUAUAUCACAUUAGAUUUAAUUAUUUAUUAUUAAAGGAUGGGGGGGUUAUAAUAUUAUUAUUUCUGAGAUUUUUUUUUAAAUUACACACAUAUAUAUAUAUAAUAUACACUAACACACUCUCAGUACUUACUACUAGAUCACUGGUUUUGUGCAGGCGAUCCCUCCCACCUCCAGUGACUCUAAUUACACUCAUUACACACCAAUAGGUUGGACAGUUCUCAAGUGGUAUAUAUUAAGUUUUUUUUUAACUUAAAUUUUUGUAAAUUGCAUUUAUAACAAUAAUAUAUGUAAUUACCUGUAAUAUGUAUUGUAACACAAUUUUUUUUUGUAAACUAUAUUCAUAAAAAUAAUGUUUCUAUAAAAAUCUCUAACAAUAAAAUA